CUUUUCCUUGUUCUGAAAACUGUUCAGCAACAGCUACUUCACUCUAGGAGUUCUUUUAUGAAAUCCUCAGAGCACUGUCCAAUUUUUGAAAUGGUACUUAAAAUUUUAUGAGCAAAUGCAUUUAAUUUGUCUCCCAUCUCUUGAGAAGUGUGAGAUCUACAAAUAGAGCCAAACUGCAAUAUAAGAGGCUGAGUAAAUGCUGCAAGUUGCCUAGGAGGGAACCUGCUGAAGUCAACUGUUAAGAUUACGCUUUCUUUUAAAAUUUAUGCUUAUUUAGUAAAUGUGCUUUCUAUAAUAUUUAUUAUCUUAUUUUAUUCCCUAAAAUUUUGAGGGUAAGUAGUGAAGGGAGGAAAGGAAUAGGGAAAUAAAUGCUUCAAGAAUUUUGAUAUUGGUGAAUCUGGUCAGUUGUGCAGCAGCUUGAUUCGGUUAAGAGCUGCUCACAAUCAAACAGACUUCUGUUGGUAAACCUGAGUGACCAGACAUGCACUCCAACUGUAGUGGAAAUGCUCAGUCAUGGCCUGAAGCAGUGAUUGAGCACCUGGGGGAAGGCAGGGCCAACCCAGGGGAGCUCAGGUGCAUACAGUGUACCUGAGUGACUGGAAGGGUGAAGCCAGGAUCCACCCCUUCCCAGUCCUCACUGAAGAGCUGGCAGUGGAGGCAAGGGGAUCUUGCUGGAGAUCCCUGCUUAACUGAGGCCUUCCAAAGGUUUUCUCCGGUGGGAUUUAUCGACUAUCAAUACAGAUGACGGUAUUGGAAGGCACAGACAGAAACUGCAGGAAUCUUCCCAUUCAAAUGGGUAUGGUUCAAGUUAAGAAUAUUCAGCCUUUGAUCACUGAAAUUCUGAGGUUCUGAUGUGUAAGGGAAACUUUAGCAAGGGGAGAAGCUGGGAAGACUUUGCAAGACCACAGAGGAAGGCGUUUACUUGGGAAGAACCGAGGCCUGCCUCGAGGUUCUCCGCGGCGACUGCUAUGAGACAGAGCAACCCGGCAGGGGAGCAACCCGUCCUGCCUGCAGGCGGCGGGAAGCGGAGGACGGA
ensembl:lncRNA